rnacentral:rRNA from 1 species
GAGUUUGAUCCUGGCUCGGACACAUGCAAGUCGAACGCUGAAGCCAGAAGCUUGCUUCUGGUGGAUGAGUGGCGAACGGGUGAGUAACACGUGAGUAACCUGCCCCUGAUUUCGGGAUAAGCCUGGGAAACCGGGUCUAAUACCGGAUACGACCAUCCCUCGCAUGAGGGUUGGUGGAAAGUUUUUCGAUCGGGGAUGGGCUCGCGGCCUAUCAGCUUGUUGGUGGGGUAAUGGCCUACCAAGGCGACGACGGGUAGCCGGCCUGAGAGGGCGACCGGCCACACUACUGAGACACGGCCCAGACUCCUACGGGAGGCAGCAGUGGGGAAUAAAUGCACAAUGGGGGAAACCCUGAUGCAGCGACGCAGCGUGCGGGAUGACGGCCUUCGUGUAAACCGCUUUCAGCAGGGAAGAAGCGUAAGUGACGGUACCUGCAGAAGAAGUACGGCGGCUAACUACGUGCCAGCAGCCGCGGUAAUACGUAGGGUACGAGCGUUGUCUUCGGAAUUAUUGGGCGUAAAGAGCUCGUAGGUGGUUGGUCACGUCUGCUCUGGAAACGCAACGCUUAACGUUGCGCGUGCAGUGGGUACGGGCUGACUAGAGUGCAGUAGGGGAGUCUGGAAGUCCUGGUGUAGCGGUGAAAUGCGCAGAUAUCAGGAGGAACACCGGUGGCGAAGGCGGGAUGGGCUGUAACUGACACUGAGGAGCGAAAGCAUCUUUCCUCCACUAGGUCGG